UGGGGAAUUUUGGACAAUGGGCGCAAGCCUGAUCCAGCAAUGCCGCGUGUGUGAAGAAGGCCUUCGGGUUGUAAAGCACUUUUGUCCGGAAAGAAGUCCGUCUGGCUAAUACCCGGACGGGAUGACGGUACCGGAAGAAUAAGCACCGGCUAACUACGUGCCAGCAGCCGCGGUAAUACGUAGGGUGCGAGCGUUAAUCGGAAUUACUGGGCGUAAAGCGUGCGCAGGCGGUUUUGUAAGACAGAUGUGAAAUCCCCGGGCUUAACCUGGGAACUGCGUUUGUGACUGCAUGACUAGAGUGCGUCAGAGGGAGGUGGAAUUCCGCGUGUAGCAGUGAAAUGCGUAGAGAUGCGGAGGAACACCGAUGGCGAAGGCAGCCUCCUGGGAUGACACUGACGCUCAUGCACGAAAGCGUGGGGAGCAAACA
rnacentral:rRNA from 1 species